UACGGGGGGGGGCAAGCGUUGUUCGGAAUUACUGGGCGUAAAGGGCUCGUAGGCGGCCAACUAAGUCGGACGUGAAAUCCCUCGGCUUAACCGGGGAACUGCGUCCGAUACUGGAUGGCUUGAGUUCGGGAGAGGGAUGCGGAAUUCCAGGUGUAGCGGUGAAAUGCGUAGAUAUCUGGAGGAACACCGGUGGCGAAGGCGGCAUCCUGGACCGGUAUUGACGCUGAGGCGCGAAAGCCAGGGGAGCAAACGGG
rnacentral:rRNA from 1 species